rnacentral:tRNA from 1 species
GGGGCAGUGGGCUUAGGAGGAGACUCCAAAACCGCAGGUCGGGGGUUCGAGCCCCUCUGCCCCU